GUGAGAGACGUGCUGCCUGAAAACACGACGCGAAUACACACAAACGUUUCAGUGCUAAAUUAUGCCUCGGCCGACCCGUGAAUCGUACGGGGACCAGAAACCACCGUUCUCAUACAUCGCGCUCACGGCCAUGGCCAUCUGGAGUUCGCCGGAACGCAUGUUGCCCUUAUCGGAGAUCUACCGGUUCAUCACCGAUCGGUUUCCAUACUACAGGCGGAACACACAGCGGUGGCAGAACUCUCUGCGCCACAAUCUCUCCUUCAACGACUGCUUUGUAAAGGUACCGCGGAGACCAGACCGGCCCGGCAAAGGCGCCUAUUGGACACUUCAUCCACAAGCAUUUGACAUGUUCGAAAACGGAUCUCUAUUACGUAGACGUAAGAGAUUCAAGUUGCAUAAAGGAGAGAAGGAUAGUUUGAACGCUGAAUUGGCAGCACUGGCCAGUUUCAAUAGGGCGUUUCUGGCGCGGCAGGCGGGAUCUGCGCCAGCGUCCGGGAUGUCAGGUGGAAUGUACGCACCGAUGGCGAUGUGUUCGCGGCCUAGUCCAGAUCCUGUAGAUGCACCAGACACAUCAGCGUUGUUGCCGGCGGGACCGCGGCCUCGUCGAGCGUUUACGAUAGAUGCCCUUCUAGAGCCUGAGCCGAGGCAGUCGUCCCCCUCCCCUCCUCCGGCGCCGCAGCCUCACUACCCCCUGCCGCUACCAGCUCCGUAUCUCCUGGCGGCGCAGAGGUACCACGCGGAGCUGUUGGCUGGACUGCAGCAAUCCUGCUUACCACCGCUGUGGACGUGGCGGGAUACGAGUCAAUUCUCACAUUAUACGCUUAAUUCAUGAAUGAUAAUCUACUCCAUAAGCAAGAUCUCAAUAGUUCUAGUAAUAAUAAACAGUAGAGGCACCUCAUAUAAAGCCUAGUGUUAGAUUGUAUUAAAUUGAGAACAGAGUGAUUUUGCGUUCAGAAACAUAAACUAAACAUUUAUAAAUACGAGAAGUGUGUUGAAAGAAAACUGGAUUAGAAGAAUGAGACAAUUUUAGGGAAAAUAUGGCCUGUUUUCAUGAAGGAAAAGUUCCAACAUAUAACUCAAUGCCGUGGAUAUUCCCAAGUAUAAUUAUUGUUUAGACAACGUUUUAAUUAAUUUAUGUAGAUUUCCAAACUGUGAUAUUUGUGUUAGCGUUCAAUUGUAAAUAUGUACAGCUAUAGUAUAUAAUUAUAAGCAAUAAAGUAUUAAUUUAUUGUAACUGUAAUGAAGAGAAAAUAUAACGUAUGUGUUAACCGUU